rnacentral:rRNA from 1 species
UUUGARAAAAUUUUAAAAAUUUGGAUUAUUGAACUGGAUUAGUACCCAGGUAAUCAAAAUUAAUUAAUUCGGGAGUAAAGUUUUGUUUAAACCGAAAAAAUAUUGACUGACUCUGGAUUUCUUUUUGGAAUAUGUGUAUGGAGAGCCCUCUUUAAUAGUAAAUCUUUUUUUGCACAUGUAUGAUUGUUUAGUUUUUAUUUUGUUUUGUAAUGCUUUUUUUAGAUUUAAAACAGAUAUAUACUUGGCUUAUGGGUUUAUUAAUC